CCUCGCCGGUAGCAUCCGUAGGUGUACCUGCGGAUGCUUGUUGUUACGGGGGGAAUUCCCGCUCCCGGUAAAACGGGACGGCCCGCCAGAGGACCCCUAAACUCUGUUUCUAUAUGUAACUUCUGAGUAAAACCAUAAAUAAAUCAAAACUUUCAACAACGGAUCUCUUGGUUCUGGCAUCGAUGAAGAACGCAGCAAAAUGCGAUAAGUAAUGUGAAUUGCAGAAUUCAGUGAAUCAUCGAAUCUUUGAACGCACAUUGCGCCCGCCAGUAUUCUGGCGGGCAUGCCUGUUCGAGCGUCAUUUCAACCCUCAAGCACAGCUUGGUGUUGGGACUCGCGUUAAUUCGCGUUCCUCAAAUUGAUUGGCGGUCACGUCGAGCUUCCAUAGCGUAGUAGUAAAACCCUCGUUACUGGUAAUCGUCGCGGCCACGCCGUUAAACCCCAACUUCUGAAUGUUGACCUCGGAUCAGGUAGGAAUACCCGCUGAACUUAAGCAUAUCAAUAAGCGGAGGAA
rnacentral:rRNA from 1 species